UACGUAGGGUGCAAGCGUUGUCCGGAAUUAUUGGGCGUAAAGAGCUCGUAGGCGGUUUGUCGCGUCGAAUGUGAAACCCGGGGCUCAACCCCGGGCCUGGCAUUCGAAUACGGGCAGACUAGAGUUCGGGUAGGGGGAGUCUGGAAUUCCUGGUGUAGGCGGUGAAAAUGCGGCAGAGUAUCAAGGAGGAACACCGGUGGCGAAGGGCGGGGAU
rnacentral:rRNA from 1 species